CGGGGUGUAGCGCAGUCCGGUUUAGCGCGCGUCGUUCGGGACGACGAGGUCCCCGGUUCGAAUCCGGGCACCCCGA
rnacentral:tRNA from 1 species